UCCCUCGAGUGUUGGCCAGUUAACGUAAGUCCCUGAGCCGAUUCAUACCAAACCGGGGAUUACAUUUUUAAAUUGGUGUGCAUGUCCGCUUGCGGAAAGCCUAAAGAUUUGACGUAAUCUCCACCUUGAACCUUUCUGGUUCAAGGGCAAUGUCGACAGCGGCACUUCAGGG
rnacentral:other from 1 species